rnacentral:rRNA from 1 species
AAACUCAAAUGAAUUGACGGGGGCCCGCACAAGCGGUGGAGCAUGUGGUUUAAUUCGAUGCAACGCGAAGAACCUUACCUGGUCUUGACAUCCACAGAACUUUCCAGAGAUGGAUUGGUGCCUUCGGGAACUGUGAGACAGGUGCUGCAUGGCUGUCGUCAGCUCGUGUUGUGAAAUGUUGGGUUAAGUCCCGCAACGAGCGCAACCCUUAUCCUUUGUUGCCAGCGGUUAGGCCGGGAACUCAAAGGAGACUGCCAGUGAUAAACUGGAGGAAGGUGGGGAUGACGUCAAGUCAUCAUGGCCCUUACGACCAGGGCUACACACGUGCUACAAUGGCAUAUACAAAGAGAAGCGACCUCGCGAGAGCAAGCGGACCUCAUAAAGUAUGUCGUAGUCCGGAUUGGAGUCUGCAACUCGACUCCAUGAAGUCGGAAUCGCUAGUAAUCGUAGAUCAGAAUGCUACGGUGAAUACGUUCCCGGGCCUUGUACACACCGCCCGUCACACCAUGGGAGUGGGUUGCAAAAGAAGUAGGUAGCUUAACCUUCGGGAGGGCGCUUACCACUUUGUGAUUCAUG